UACGUAGGGUGCAAGCGUUGUCCGGAAUUAUUGGGCGUAAAGGGCUCGUAGGCGGUCUGUUGCGUCGGGAGUGAAAACUUACAGCUUAACUGUGAGCGUGCUUCCGAUACGGGCAGACUUGAGGUAUUCAGGGGAGAACGGAAUUCCUGGUGUAGCGGUGAAAUGACGCAGAUAUCAGGAGGAACACCAAUGGCGAAGGCAGAUCUCUGGGCCGUAACUGACGCUGAGGAGCGAAAGCAUGGGGAGCGAACAGG
rnacentral:rRNA from 1 species